rnacentral:rRNA from 1 species
UGGGGGAUAUUGCACAAUGGGCGAAAGCCUGAUGCAGCGACGCCGCGUGGGGGAUGAAGGCCUUCGGGUUGUAAACUUCUUUUGCUCUGAACAAGGCAUGGCUUUGGGGUGUGUUGAGUGUAGGGGUUGAUUAGCGCCGGCUAACUACGUGCCAGCAGCCGCGGUAAUACGUAGGGCGCGAGCGUUGUCCGGAAUUAUUGGGCGUAAAGGGCUUGUAGGCGGUUUGUCGCGUCGAUAGUGCAAACUCAGUGCUUAACGCUGAGCCUGCUGUUGAUACGGGCAGACUAGAGGAAGGUAGGGGAGAAUGGAAUUCCCGGUGGAGCGGUGGAAUGCGCAGAUAUCGGGAGGAACACCGGUGGCGAAGGCGGUUCUCUGGGCCUUUCCUGACGCUGAGAAGCGAAAGCGUGGGGAGCGAACAGG